GACGAACGCUGGCGGCGUGUUUAACACAUGCAAGUCGAACGGAAAGGCCCUGCUUUUGUGGGGUGCUCGAGUGGCGAACGGGUGAGUAACACGUGAGUAACCUGCCCUUGACUUUGGGAUAACUUCAGGAAACUGGGGCUAAUACCGGAUAGGAGCUCCUGCUGCAUGGUGGGGGUUGGAAAGUUUCGGCGGUUGGGGAUGGACUCGCGGCUUAUCAGCUUGUUGGUGGGGUAGUGGCUUACCAAGGCUUUGACGGGUAGCCGGCCUGAGAGGGUGACCGGCCACAUUGGGACUGAGAUACGGCCCAGACUCCUACGGGAGGCAGCAGUGGUGAAUAUUGCACAAUGGGCGGAAGCCUGAUGCAGCAACGCCGCGUGCGGGAUGACGGCCUUCGGGUUGUAAACCGCUUUCGCCUGUGACGAAGCGUGAGUGACGGUAAUGGGUAAAGAAGCACCGGCUAACUACGUG
rnacentral:rRNA from 1 species